rnacentral:rRNA from 1 species
GCACGGGUGAGUUAACACGUGAAUGAUCUACCUCCGAGUGGGGAAUAACUGAGAGAAAUCUUAGCUAAUACCGCAUAACACUUACGAGUCAAAGCAGCAAUGCGCUUGGAGAGGAGUUCGCGGCGAUUAGUUAGUUGGCGGGUUUAAAUGGCCACCAAGACUGUGAUCGGUAUCCGGCCUGAGAGGGCGCACGGACACACUGGAACUGAAACACGGUCCAGACUCCUACGGGAGGCAGCAGUGGGGAAUAUUGGACAAUGGGGGAAACCCUGAUCCAGCCAUGCCGCGUGAGUGAUGAAGGCCUUCGGGUUGUAAAGCUCUUUUGGCGGGGACGAUGAUGACGGUACCCGCAGAAUAAGCCCCGGCUAACUUCGUGCCAGCAGCCGCGGUAAGACGAAGGGGGCUAGCGUUGUUCGGAAUUACUGGGCGUAAAGCGUGUGUAGGUGGUUGUCGUAGUUGGGUGUGAAAGCCUUGAGCUCAACUCAAGAAAUGCACUCAAUACUCGGCGGCUAGAGGACCGGAGAGGAUAGUGGAAUUCCCAGUGUAGUGGUGAAAUACGUAGAGAUUGGGAAG